rnacentral:rRNA from 1 species
GUGACAUCCGUGGAAGUGGCGGUGGUAAUACGGAGGGUGCAAUCGUGUUCCGGGUUGAUUGGGUUUAAAGGGUCCGGAGGCGGACUUAGAAGUGAGUGGUGAAAGCCUGUCGCUUAACGAUAGAACUGCCAUUGAUACUGUAAGUCUUGAGUAUAUUUGAGGUAGCUGGAAUAAGUAGUGUAGCGGUGAAAUGCAUAGAUAUUACUUAGAACACCAAUUGCGAAGGCAGGUUACCAAGAUAUAACUGACGCUGAGGGACGAAAGCGUGGGGAGCGAACAGGAUUAGAUACCCCAGUAGUC